rnacentral:rRNA from 1 species
AUUGAACGCUGACGGCAUGCCUUACACAUGCAAGUCGAACGGUAACGCGGGGGCAACCCUGGCGACGAGUGGCGAACGGGUGAGUAGCGCAUCGGAACGUGCCCAGUAGUGGGGGAUAGCUCGGCGAAAGCCGGAUUAAUACCGCAUACGACCUACGGGUGAAAGCGGGGGACCGCAAGGACUCGCGCUCUUGGAGCGGCCGAUGCCCGAUUAGCUAGUUGGUGAGGUAACGGCUCACCAAGGCAACGAUCGGUAGCUGGUCUGAGAGGACGACCAGCGACACUGGGACUGAGACACGGCCCAGACUCCUACGGGAGGCAGCAGUGGGGAAUUUUGGACAAUGGGGGAAACCCUGAUCCAGCCAUGCCGCGUGCGGGAAGAAGGCCCUCGGGUUGUAAACCCCUUUUGGCAGGAACGAAACGGCGCUCCCUCACACCCCGCGCUAAUGACGGUACCUGCAGAAUAAGCACCGGCUAACUACGUGCCAGCCGCCGCCGUAAGAC